rnacentral:lncRNA from 1 species
CUCAGGUGAGGCGCUUUAGCACUUUUUCCUCUGAUACUUAAAAUCACGUGCUUUCUCUCCUACCAGCAGACAACACAUUGGAGGGGAGAAAGGAGCAGAGCAGGUAGUCUAUGAAGAAUGAAAGCUUACCCCAAAGAGAGGUAACCUGAAACAGGAAGAGAUGGAGAUGACUUUAAUUGGCAUGAAAGAUUAGAUCAGUAAUCAGAAAAUAAGCUUCAUUUUCUCUCUAUAUCUGUGUGGGAAGUUUAUGAAUGACCUUGUUACAUUGCCCUAUGCAUUUUCAUUGCAACAAAUUAAGUAAGUGAUUCAGGAAGUUCUUUCUCUCCCUUAACCUGAACAGAUGGGAAGCUCUAAGAGCCAAAUUGCAGGAUGAUUCAGAGCAGGAAAAAAGAAUCAAGAGGCCAUGUUGUUCUUGUGUGAUGGGCUCACGCACAACCCAUUUAAACAGAGGUCCUAGUGGGAUAUAAGCAUCUUUUGUGACUCAAUAAUUCAAAUAACCGAGACCCUUGAGAUACUCUCACUCAGAUGAUUUCAGGGCCCAGGGAAGGCUUUCAGUUUCUUCUCUCCACCUUUUCUCAUCUCUUGACAGAUGCUAUUCUCUGCUUUUCAAUUCUUGCUAAAGCCUUUAUUUUUCACCAAAACCUUGAUUGAAAGCAAUUUUCUUCCACCUUUUAAAAUCAUCAAAUCUUUUCCUACUAUGUCUUCUUACUUCUAUCGAGCAAUAAUGUCCCAGCAAAGACAGAUUAUUACAGGAUAGUUGUUUCCCAUUCUUCACAUCAAAGAAACAGAACAGUUUGAAUUAGAACGGGUGUUUUGAUCUAGCUCGACCACUCCACUGCCUUGGCAUAUCCCAGCUAAAUCUACACCAGCCGGAUACUCCCACUUAUCAUUUCCAGGAACUCUAAAAUGGAGACAGUGGACAAAAAAGCUAGUAGUUUUAGGGAAAGACCAUGAAUGAUUACUUAAUCAGUUUACAUUUUAGCUUUUUUUUUUUCACUUAGGCAAUCCAUUUAAUUAAAUCUUAUUAAUUUAAAGGGGAUAAUAAGACUUCUAGCACCUUUUGGGGUGAAAUUUAGAUGAUUCAAUAAGCAUUAACAAUUCCUUGUAUUUCAUAGUAUUUGUCAUGGUUAUUCUACUUCAGGAAUUGUUUUUAAGAAAGUUAUAUAAUGAGUGUAAACAUUUAUGCACACAGAUCUACUCAGUGCAGCAUUGUUUAUGGUGCAAAUAAGAAAGAUAAAGAAGCAAAGAUGUCCGUAGGU